GCCGGGCGUGGUAGCCCACGCCUAUAAUCCCAGCACUUUGGGAGGCUGAGGCAGGUGGAUCACCUGAGGUCAGGAGUUCAAGACCAGCCUGGCCAACAUGGUGAAACCCUGUCUCCA
rnacentral:sRNA from 1 species